UUGAACAUAACUAUACCAUCCUCCUAUAUUAAUUGCAUUCAAGUUCGAAUUAGAACUUAUCUCACCACUAAGAGAUCACCAAGCACAACAGACAGAUUAUAUCACACAAACAAAUAUACAAACACCAAAUAUACAAAUAUAUGCACAUAAAAAAGUACGCUAAACCCACCGAGAACUACUCCCCAGCAGAGUCGCCACUUAAUUUAUGUAGUGGUAAAUUCAUGACCAUUAAGCUAUGGAUAAGCUUGACGUCAAUAAAACCAGAGUAA
rnacentral:lncRNA from 1 species